AUACGGAGGAUGCAAGCGUUAUCCGGAUUUAUUGGGUUUAAAGGGUGCGUAGGCGGUUUGCUAAGCGGGAGGUGAAAUGCCGGCGCUCAACGUCGGAAGUGCCUCCCGAACUGGUGGACUGGAAUGACUCUGCCGUGGGAGGAAUGUGUAGUGUAGCGGUGAAAUGCUUAGAGAUUACACAGAACACCGAUUGCGAAGGCAUCUCACGAAGGGUUGAUUGACGCUGAGGCACGAAAGCGUGGGGAUCAAACAGGAUUAGAUACCCUGGUAGUCCACGCAGUAAACGAUGAUGGCUAACCGCUGGUUUAUUCGGAUCAGUGGCCAAGCGAAAGCGAUAAGCCAUCCACCUGGGGAGUACGACCGCAAGGUUGAAACUCAAAUGAAUUGGCGGG
rnacentral:rRNA from 1 species